rnacentral:tRNA from 1 species
UCAGAGAAUAGUUUAAUUAAAAUAUUAACUUUGGAAGUUAAAGAUAUUAAUAACAUUUUUUUCUUUGAA